rnacentral:snRNA from 1 species
AUACUUCCCUGGUGCCGGGGCCUCGUUAAUCACCGAGGACGAGCUCCCAAGGCGAGGUUCGGGUAUUGCACUGCGCUCGCGUUGACCCCUGCCCCUUCCCGAAACUGGGGCAGAUGGAGCAUGCAAAUUGC